GGCGACUGCUGCAUCUCAAAACCUGAAGAUCAAAAUUUCCUCAACAAAGAGAGAGAGAUAUUCGCCUGCACAAGCUUACACCACGUUUGGCAGGUGAAGGUGCUCAGUAUGAAUCAGAGCUACUACGAUAAAUAUGAGAUGGAGAUUACACAAGUUAUUAAACUAGGUGUGGAGGCUGGAGUUGAAGUUGGUCAGAAGAGGUUUUUCYUGUCGCAUGGUGGCUGCAGAGAAGGACUCAACCUCAAACUGGGCUCCCAGUAUCUCAUCAUUGGUCCUAAAGAGGACCAGUGGACCACUGACCCCAGCAACA